rnacentral:pre_miRNA from 1 species
UCAUGAAUUACCUGGGGAUCUUGUUAAGUUAGAAAUUCUGAUUGAGCUGUUCUGGGUGGAGUCUGAGGUUCUGUAUUUUGAACAAGCUCCCAGGUGAUGCUACU